CUCUGUCUAAACUUCCUUAUCAAAGCCCGAUCUCAUCCAAUCUCAGACGUUAAGCAAGGCUGGGCCUGGUUAGUGCUUGGAUGGAAGAACACUGGGAAUAUCAAGUGCCACAGUGG
ensembl:rRNA 5S_rRNA 5S ribosomal RNA